rnacentral:rRNA from 1 species
CCUACGGGAGACAGCAGUGAGGAAUAUUGGUCAAUGGGCGAGAGCCUGAACCAGCCAAGUCGCGUGAAGGAUGAAGGAUCUAUGGUUUGUAAACUUCUUUUAUAUGGGAAUAAAGUGAGGAACGUGUUCCUUUUUGUAUGUACAAUAUGAAUAAGCAUCGGCUAACUCCGUGCCAGCAGCCGCGGUAAUACGGAGGAUGCGAGCGUUAUCCGGAUUUAUUGGGUUUAAAGGGUGCGUAGGUGGUUAAUUAAGUCAGCGGUGAAAGUUUGUGGCUCAACCAUAAAAUUGCCGUUGAAACUGGUUGACUUGAGUAUAUGUGAGGUAGGCGGAAUGCGUGGUGUAGCGGUGAAAUGCAUAGAUAUCACGCAGAACUCCGAUUGCGAAGGCAGCUUACUAAACUAUAACUGACGCUGAAGCACGAAAGCGUGGGGAGCAAACAGGAUUAGAUACCCGGGUAGUC